rnacentral:rRNA from 1 species
AGUGAACGCUGGCGGUAGGCCUAACACAUGCAAGUCGAACGGCAGCACAGUAAGAGCUUGCUCUUACGGGUGGCGAGUGGCGGACGGGUGAGGAAUACAUCGGAAUCUACUUUUUCGUGGGGGAUAACGUAGGGAAACUUACGCUAAUACCGCAUACGACCUACGGGUGAAAGCAGGGGAUCUUCGGACCUUGCGCGAUUGAAUGAGCCGAUGUCGGAUUGGCUAGUUGGCGGGGUAAAGGCCCACCAAGGCGACGAUCCGUAGCUGGUCUGAGAGGAUGAUCAGCCACACUGGAACUGAGACACGGUCCAAACUCCUACGGGAGGCAGCAGUGGGGAAUAUUGGACAAUGGGCGCAAGCCUGAUCCAGCCAUACCGCGUGGGUGAAGAAGGCCUUCGGGUUGUAAAGCCCUUUUGUUGGGAAAGAAAAGCAGCAGGUUAAUACCCCGCUGUUCUGACGGUACCCAAAGAAUAAGCACCGGCUAACUUCGUG